GGAGAGAGCAAUGUCAUGUGACCAUGAGAUGGUGAUUCUCUUUGGAGACUCCACAGAAGCCCACAGAGGCCAUGAGCGAGAAGCACAAGAUGCCCACAGGUAAAAAGGAGCGGGGACUUGACUCCUGGGAUCCACUUUGACUUUCCCAUUAGCAGAGCUUUUCUGUUUGCCAUCCUCACUGACUUCAUUGCAAACGUGUGCACACACACCAGGCUUCUAUGUCUUCACAAUACUGAGUUGAUGAGGUGGACAUUUUCCCCACCCCGGAGAGACCAGUAGCAGUAAGGCUUGUCUAGGAGGGAUAUAUUUGCUUUGCAUUCCUACUCUCUAGCGACUGGCCUCUGGUCCCCCUAGGACUUUCUCCUAUGUAGCAUUGGCUUCAAACAAUGAAGGACACCCUUUCUCCGCAGAAAAGGACUUCGGCCUCGCGGUCCUCAUGCCUUUUGUUCAAGAAUAGUCACCAUUGCUUGCUCCAGACCCCAGGGAGUGUGUUAACCUGGCUGUUUCUUUUUCCUUAUAGGAAUGAUGCAGGCAGGGCUGAGGCUCAUGUUAACUGAGCACCUUCUGCUGGGCACCCAGCCAGAGCAACACUUCCUGCUUGAAUGACUUCAUCACGUUAUUAACCCAG
rnacentral:lncRNA from 1 species